GAUGAACGCUAGCGGCAGGCUUAAUACAUGCAAGUCGAGGGGCAGCAUGAUUGUAGCAAUACAAUUGAUGGCGACCGGCAAACGGGUGCGGAACACGUACACAACCUCCCAAUAAGUGGGGAAUAGCCCAGAGAAAUUUGGAUUAAUACCCCGUAACAUAACGAUGUGGCAUCACAUUGUUAUUAUAGAUUUUUCGCUUAUUGAUGGGUGUGCGGCUGAUUAGAUAGUUGGCGGGGUAACGGCCCACCAAGUCUACGAUCAGUAGCUGAUGUGAGAGCAUGAUCAGCCACACGGGCACUGAGACACGGGCCCGACUCCUACGGGAGGCAGCAGUAAGGAAUAUUGGACAAUGGACGCAAGUCUGAUCCAGCCAUGCCGCGUGAAGGAUUAAGGUCCUCUGGAUUGUAAACUUCUUUUAUAAGGGACGAAAAAAGGCUUUUCUAAGUCGUCUGACGGUACCUUAUGAAUAAGCACCGGCUAACUCCGUGCCAGCCGCCGCUGUAA
rnacentral:rRNA from 1 species